rnacentral:rRNA from 1 species
UGAGAAUCUGCCUUCAGGUCUGGGACAACCACUGGAAACGGUGGCUAAUACCGGAUGUGCUUUACUGUGAAAGAUUUAUCGCCUGAAGAUGAGCUCGCGUCUGAUUAGCUAGUUGGUGAGGUAAAAGCUCACCAAGGCGACGAUCAGUAGCUGGUCUGAGAGGAUGACCAGCCACACUGGAACUGAGACACGGUCCAGACUCCUACGGGAGGCAGCAGUGGGGAAUUUUCCGCAAUGGGCGAAAGCCUGACGGAGCAAGACCGCGUGAGGGAGGAAGGCUCUUGGGUUGUAAACCUCUUUUGUCAGGGAAGAACACAAUGACGGUACCUGACGAAUCAGCCUCGGCUAACUCCGUGCCAGCAGCCGCGGUAAUACGGAGGAGGCAAGCGUUAUCCGGAAUUAUUGGGCGUAAAGCGUCCGCAGGUGGCUCUUCAAGUCUGCCGUCAAAGCACAGGGCUUAACCCUGUUAAGGCGGUGGAAACUGAAAGGCUAGAGAGAGGUAGGGGUAGAGGGAAUUCCCAGUGUAGCGGUGAAAUGCGUAGAGAUUGGGAAGAACAUCGGUGGCGAAAGCGCUCUACUGGACCUCAUCUGACACUCAGGGACGAAAGCUAGGGGAGCGAAUGGGAUUAGAUAC